rnacentral:tRNA from 1 species
GAAGGGAUAGCUCAGUGGUAGAGUGCCUGCCUAGCAUUUACAAGGUUCUGGGUUCAAUCCCCAGUACCUCCA